rnacentral:rRNA from 1 species
UACGUAGGGACCGAGCGUUGUCCGGAUUCAUUGGGCGUAAAGAGCUCGUAGGCGGCUGUUCAAGUCGAACGUGAAAACUCGGAGCUCAACUCCGAGCCUGCGUUCGAUACUGGACGGCUAGAGUCUGGUAGGGGGGAUCUGGAAUUCCUGGUGUAGCGGUGGAAUGCGCAGAUAUCAGGAGGAACACCGAUAGCGAAGGCAGCUCGCUGGGACGGUACUGACGCUCAGGCGCGAAAGCGUGGGGAGCAAACAGG